rnacentral:rRNA from 1 species
UCUCUCUGAAUCUGCGUACGGCUCCGCACACCAGUUGUAAACCAAAGCAAGCAAGCUCGAUCUCAACGCCUUUCGGGGCUAGGGGUCGGGCUAUAAGGAUAACCCUGGUAAUUCUGAGGCUAAUACUUGACACUAACUUGCCGACUGGACCUCGGUCUGGGAAGCAGGGGAUGUGCGACUAUCGGGCCAACGAAACCGGAAAGAGCGCACGUUCAGACCACUUAAAAAGGCUACGGGGUCCCUCGGGAUCCCGGAGCUGUGGCUCUUGCAGCGUGCUUCUGACCUAUCAACUAGACGGCAGCCUAAAGGACAUGCUUUGGUGACAACGGGUACAGAGGAUAAGGGUUCGAUCCUGGAGAGUGGGCCUGAGAGAUU